rnacentral:rRNA from 1 species
GAAAUGCGUAGAUAUGUGGAGGAACACCAGUGGCGAAGGCGACUCUCUGGUCUGUAACUGACGCUGAGGCGCGAAAGCGUGGGGAGCAAACAGGAUUAGAUACCCUGGUAGUCCACGCCGUAAACGAUGUCGACUUGGAGGUUGUGCCCUUGAGGCGUGGCUUCCGGAGCUAACGCGUUAAGUCGACCGCCUGGGGAGUACGGCCGCAAGGUUAAAACUCAAAUGAAUUGACGGGGGCCCGCACAAGCGGUGGAGCAUGUGGUUU